rnacentral:lncRNA from 1 species
UUGUCUCCGUUGAUUUUGUCGUAUCUGCUCCAUUAUUGCUCCUUAUCUUAUCUUUCCAGCUGGCAUUUUGUCUUCUUGAUUUUUAUUCUAGAUGUACCUCUGGAAUAAUAUUAUCUUCUCCAUUACACCUCGAACAUUGGUGAUCUGGAUAUUUGUGUCCAAUUAUCUUACAAUAUCUUGUUAGCAGUCCGUCUGAAAUAAAUCCUUUUUUUAUUGCUCUUGCGGUAGAUUGUUUUUCUGGGUUGAGUAGCGUCAUUAUCCAUUGUCUUACAUCUUCCAUAUCUGCUUGUCGUAGCUCUUUUGAAUUUGAGUAAAUCAUUUGAUGAUCUCUCGAAUAAUAGCUCCAUAUUGGGUUUCCGUUAGUAUAAUUAUUUGCUAGUUCUUGAAUGAUCGUAGCUAGUCCAAUAAGUCGUUUAUUUGCAUAAAAAUCUGGUAUCUCAAUUCUGGGUAUCUCCGGUUGCUGCGUAAUAUCUUCUGGUAUA